AGUCAAGGCUCUUUUGAGUCGUGAGCGCCGUUUCGGCGAGCAGUUUUCUAUUGCCUAGCAAUAGGUGAAAGAAAAUG
rnacentral:sRNA from 1 species